rnacentral:tRNA from 1 species
GCCCGGGUGGCGAAACUGGCAGACGCAAAGGACUUAAAAUCCUUUUCUCGGCAACGAGAGUGCGGGUUCAAUUCCCGCCCCGGGCACCA